GGUAGUUUUUGUGUUACCCAGAUCCUGGGUCAGACGUAACAACCCAGUGUCUGGGUAGUUUUUGUGUUAUCCAGAUCCUGGGUCAGACGUAACAACCCAGUGUUUGGGUAGUUUUUGUGUUACCCAGAUCCUGGGUCAGAUGUAACAACCCAGUGUUUGGGUAGUUUUUGUGUUACCCAGAUCCUGGGUCAGACGUAACAACCCAGUGUUUGGGUAGUUUUUGUGUUACCCAGCUCCUGGGUCAGACGUAACAACCCAGUGUUUGGGUAGUUUUUGUGGUACCCAGAUCCUGGGUCAGACGUAACAACCCAGUGUUUGGGUAGUUUUUGUGUUAUCCAGAUCCUGGGUCAGACGUAACAACCCAGUGUUUGGGUAGUUUUUGUGUUACCCAGAUCCUGGGUCAGACGUAACAACCCAGUGUUUGGGUAGUUUUUGUGUUACCCAGCUCCUGGGUCAGACGUAACAACCCAGUGUUUGGGUAGUUUUUGUGUUACCCAGCUCCUGGGUCAGACGUAACAACCCAGUGUUUGGUAGUUUUUGUGUUACCCAGAUCCUGGGUCAGACGUAAUAACCCAGGGGUUGAGUUAUUUAUUGCAGGUUUUUUGCGCCCUCUUUAGGAGAGAGCAGGGCAGCUCCGUCAAAUUGGUGCAUGUCUUCGGUAAAAUACAGGUUUGUGUAUGUUUUAUUUUAUCUAAAAAUUUGUUAUUGUUCUGUAUAUUGUUUAAUUUUAUUCAAAGCAACAUACAGGGGUGUGAUGUGAGUCACCUAAGCGAGUGACUCUUUUCACGUGAUGGAAACCCCUGAUGCCUUGCAUACAAUUUUAUGAUUUUUUUCUAAAAGAUACAGAAUACAUAGGAUGUUAAAAUAUGUUCUCAGAAUUGUACACUGAUUAUUUAUGGACUGGUUAUGGAGUCAGUCACAGCAUUUUUCAGCUACAAGUGAAACGCAGGGCUGAAGUUAGCAGUUCCCCCGCCGAACACGAGCCAUCUCUGGCACGAGAUCCAGUGUCAUUACGAUGGAAACAGGACAACAAAGACUGGUCAAUUACACUUGAAUUUCUUCUAAAUGGUUAAUUUUUACUUCUAAUAUUUGUUAAAUGAGCUUAAAUGUAGGCAAUAUGUAUUAAAAACUAUAUAAAAUAUGCUAUACUAUAAAAUAUGAUAAAAAAUAAAGGAAUUGUCAUCCAAAACAGUGUGGAGUAUUUUUAAAAAAAAAAAAGUUUAGAGGAUUUUAAGGUUAAUUCAUAAACAUUAAAAGCUAGUAUUAUAGUAAAAAAUUAAUCAACCCAUUAUACUGGGUUAAACGACCCAAUUUGCUGGGUAAAAUUAACCCAACACGUGUUCUGUCCAAUAUUUACCCAGCCCUUGGGUUGAACCCAGUGUUUUUUAGAGUGUAGUAUAGUAGAUAUAGAGAUAUAAUAUAAUAUUAUAGUAUAGUUCUGAUCUAAAUAUUUUCCAACAAAGAUCAGCACAAGAAAGAACGUCCUUGAAGUUUCCGUACACAACACACUUCAACUGCUUUUUCUCUCAUAAUAAUGCACAGUUAAUUCCCUCUUAUGAUUUGCAAUCACUGUCUGCUGCAUGCUUGCAGAAACACAUUUAAUUGUAUCUUGAUAAAGAGAAGAAAAUUUGCAAAUUGUUUGGAUGUUUGGUGGAGCUCUACCGUUCAUGCGAGAAGUUUUCAUAGAAGAAACACGUGUGAGUUUUCAUAUUUUCUACCUGUCAGUGCUGCAGUUUCAGUGCAUUUUUCAAUAAUUAAGUUUGCUUUGGAAAAAAAAAAAUUAUUUACUUGCUCAAUAAAUGAAUUUUGUUACAUAUUUUGUUAUUUUUACCCAUAGUGCACCUUUGAAUACUCACAACCUCACCUUAUACCAGCUCAAGUACCACCUGGUUAAGUUGGAUUUUGGGUGGUUUGUGAAUGAAGACGAAAUUAUUUCUGCUGAAAUGAAAUAGGUGUCUGCGCUGCCUAUGAUUAAGACCGUCUUUAAAGCAUCCAGAUUCCUGAAGCUGAUGCAGCGUUGCCACAGUAACACACAUGCCUCAGAGGUCUGCUUCCACACUUCCAUCCAGAGAAAAAUAAGCCCAGGUUCUACUCCAUCUAAUGAGUCAGCUGUGCUGUUGGUCUCAUUUGAUCUGAAGAACGUGGAGUAAGAAGAAACAUAUGUGGAUCAGUGAGGGCACACCAAUUCUAGGAGAGGUUGACAGCGGAUGAAGCUAAACAAAAUGCGAGAGA